GACGAACGCUGGCGACGUGCCUAAUACAUGCAAGUAGAACGCUGAAGGAGGAGCUUGCUUCUCUGGAUGAGUUGCGAACGGGUGAGUAACGCGUAGGUAACCUGCCUGGUAGCGGGGGAUAACUAUUGGAAACGAUAGCUAAUACCGCAUAACAGUAGAUGUUGCAUGACAUUUGCUUAAAAGGUGCAAUUGCAUCACUACCAGAUGGACCUGCGUUGUAUUAGCUAGUUGGUGGGGUAACGGCUCACCAAGGCGACGAUACAUAGCCGACCUGAGAGGGUGAUCGGCCACACUGGGACUGAGACACGGCCCAGACUCCUACGGGAGGCAGCAGUAGGGAAUCUUCGGCAAUGGACGGAAGUCUGACCGAGCAACGCCGCGUGAGUGAAGAAGGUUUUCGGAUCGUAAAGCUCUGUUGUAAGAGAAGAACGAGUGUGAGAGUGGAGAGUUCACACUGUGACGGUAUCUUACCAGAAAGGGACGGCUAACUACGUGCCAGCAGCCGCGGUAAUACGUAGGUCCCGAGCGUUGUCCGGAUUUAUUGGGCGUAAAGCGAGCGCAGGCGGUUAGAUAAGUCUGAAGUUAAAGGCUGUGGCUUAACCAUAGUACGCUUUGGAAACUGUUUAACUUGAGUGCAAGAGGGGAGAGUGGAAUUCCAUGUGUAGCGGUGAAAUGCGUAGAUAUAUGGAGGAACACCGGUGGCGAAAGCGGCUCUCUGGCUUGUAACUGACGCUGAGGCUCGAAAGCGUGGGGAGCAAACAGG
rnacentral:rRNA from 1 species